rnacentral:rRNA from 1 species
AUGUGUGGACGCCAAGCCGCGAAAGCGACGGCGAUGGGGUCGUGCCUUUACGGAGGUAGCAGCCGACUCGCUGUCUCGCGGCGGUGGUGGUGGUGGCAGUCGGGUGAUGGAGUGAUGGAGAUCUACCCGACCGAAAGCGCGGCGUUCCCCCUCGGGAGGUGGCGGCGGUGGCUCCAGGCGAUGUGGCGUUGUCUCGUCAGCCUGUGCAAGAGUCCGAGUCGCACUUGUCUUCCUCGACGUGGCGGGUUGGCGCCCCGGAUCCACGCAAGAUGGAGUAAAACGUGUGGAGCUGAUGAAAUGUUGCUUUUGUGA